AUGAAGAUGAUGACAGAGAAGGAAAAUGGUAGAGAAUGGGUGGGUUCAGAGGGAAGAUUGUCGAAGGAGAAUGGAGGGAGAGAGAGAAUGAAGAUGGGAUCUGAGUGUUAUGAACGAAUGGUGUCUGUGAAUGAAUGCAUGUUGAUGUGGGAUUUUCGUGAUGCAAGUACAACUUUGAACAUGGUUCAACACGGAAUGAAGGUCAAAAUCGUGAGGGCAUACUUGAUGUAUAUGGACAUGUAUGUAUGA